rnacentral:lncRNA from 1 species
AUCAAUAGGAACUUCUAAGUUGAAGCACUGGGUGAUAGUAUUGGAUCCUUCCUCUUCUUCUCGGCCUGAAGGGCCAUUAUGCAAUUUUGCUGUGAUAUAGCCAGAUUUACCAGCUCAUUGUACGUGUCUACCUUGAUGGGGUUCAACCUCUCCUUGAGCUUAGGAUUCAGGCCCCUAUGGAAACGGUCCCACUUCUUCUGGUCCGAAUCUGCAUGAUAGCCCACAUAACGGCACAGUUCAUUG